GGAUAAAACGUUGGAGCGAAAUAAAAGAAGAAAAUCGAUAAGCAAGUUCUCUCUUUGAGCUCGCGAUGAAGACAGAGAUGCCGAACCUUCCCGAAGAAAUCAUCGUCGACGUACUCUCGAGACUACCUGUCGUCUCCCUCUGCAGAUUCAGGUGCGUUUCGAAACCAUGGCGCUCUCUAAUCUCCCACCCUAGUUUCAUCAAAACACACCUCAAUCGCAACACCGACAAAAACACCAACAAGUACGAGCGUGUCGUUCUCAGCGAUCAUCGAAAUUGGUACACCGUGGAACUCGAUUCAUCUCAAUUCAGGCACCAUUCAGUGGCAGUGCGCCUGAAUUUCCCACAGGGUCAAAACCCUAGAUAUUGUGAGGAGAUUUGUUAUUCGUGUGAUGGCUUGGUGUUGAUGCUCGAUCGAAGGUUCCAUUGUUGCUUGGUGAACCCGUCUACUCGAGAAUCUAGAAAAUUGCCGUUUUCUCCUUUUACGUCUAAGCCAGGUUUCACUGAUUAUGGGUUUGGUUACGACUCAUCCAUUGAUGACUACAAGGUUGUAAAUAUUUGUUAUUAUGAUGGAGAAGCUGACGCUGGGUGCGCUGAUAAUGUAGUCAGUGUGUAUGCCUUAAAGACCAAUUCCUGGAGAAGGAUUGAGAACUCUCCUUAUGAUCAUUCAUGCUUUGGACAUCAUUCAGGGGCUUUUGUUUGUGGUGCACUCCACUGGGUAGCUAGCAAUGGUACAGACGAUGUUAUAGUUGCACUCGUUUUAGAAGAUGAAAAAUUUCAGACUGUGCCAUCUCCAACUCCGGAUUGUAUUGGUGACCUACUUUGUGUUCUUGGAGGUUGCCUUUGUGUGUUUGUUUCUCAGUUUGAUCCUUACUGUCUAGAUGUUUGGGUGAUGAAAGAGUAUGGGGUGAAAGAUUCAUGGAUGAAAUUUACAGUCACUUGUGAUAAUAUUUAUGAUUCUUGGAGGCCUUUGAGUUUAUCUCGGAUCGGUCAAGUUUUACUUAAUGCACAAGGAAAAAACUUAGUUCUCUUUGAUCCACGGGAGGAAGAAUCCAAGGAGCUAGUGGUUCAGGGCCUUCCAACUCAAUUUGAAGUAGGAACUUAUGUGGAAAGCCUCGUUUCACCCAAGAGGCAAUGCUAAUAAUCACCUAGUUAGGUACUAUGUAUGUACUUCACCGUAUUUUCCAUUGCGUAUGUGUUUCAUUGCUGCACUGUUACCUCUUCUAGUCUUCUUCAUUAUGAUUGUUACAAUGAUGCUACUUUUGUGUAGUGUUGCCUGUAUAUUUCGUCUUAAAAUUUUUGUUCAAAAAAACUACACAUUAGACAAUUGUACGGUUGAAAUAAUUUUAAGUAUUUUCUGUUUGUUUUCGGCAAUACUUAUGUUUUUGGUCGGAUUGUGCGGGUGGAUUCUCAUAUCAUUCUUCAUUUGAAGCAAAAGAAAGACCAGACGUAGGUAAAGUAAUGUUUGUCGAUGAUGAUUUUGUGAAAUUAUGUACCUAAUUUUACACAAGCCCUCAACUGGUGAAUGGUUCAGAUCAUUGUCGAAGAUCAUGUCCAAACUUUCGAGGCUUGACAGGCUAUGUCGGAAAAAAAAAAAUCAGUGAGAUUAGUGUGUAUGACAUGGGGGAUGAUGUGAUAAAAAUUAUACAAUGAUAUGAUUUUAUUAAAACUAAGCAUUUGACAGAGAGAAUAGCGAAGAGAAUUCAUCUAGCUAAUCCACUUGGUCCGGACACAAAUUGUGGUUUGAUAUGGUUUGGUUACUUAAUAGUUACUCCCCCGUCCCAAAUUGUUGGUCCUCCUUUCCUUUUUUGGAUGUCCCAAAAUAUUAGUCUCUUUGAAAAGUCAAUCUAAAAAGCUUUUAGUUUUCCAAAAUUGUCCUUAUAAAUUAGUCAUCAUUGUGUUGAAAAGAUAGAAUACAAGGGCAAUGUAGUAAAGUCAUGCCUCACAAUUUGAAUUUGGUGCAAUCAUUGCUUGUCCUCUUAAUCUCUUACUUAUCAAAAAAAAUUGCUUGUCCUCUUAAUAUUUAGCUUCCCCAAAAUGGGCAAGCAAUUUGGGACGGAGGGAGUACAGUUUUUUUAUUACCAGUCGUACAAAUUUUGCCUUAUCUAGGGUGUUUGGCAUGAUUUGAGCAUGGUAUAAUUGUUGCAGUACGGUUGCUUUCUCCCUUUCUCCCUUUAUUUCUUUGUUCAGUUAAUCACUCCAUGUAUGUUAAUUUGACUUCUCAUACAGACUCAUUUUGGGAAUUUUCUAAUGAUGGGGAUUCCACCGUGAGUUAAAUUUAUUGUCCCCUUUCAAAUCAGAAGCAUGCAUAUAAGACAUGCUAGAAAAGUUAACCCCCAUCUUCCUAAUGCUGCCAUCUCUAGUCCCUGGAACUUCAUCUGGUGGUUGCCUAUUCCCUUCAAAAUCAAAUUCUUUUAUUGCAAGUUUUGGAUGAUUGUCUUUCCUGUAUGAGUUUCUAUCUUACAAAGGUUAGGUUGGAGAACAAGGUUCUUCCUCUUUGGGGGCAUUAUGACUUGGUUUAGCUCAGAUUUAGGUCUUCCUUUACCCUAGCAUUGCUCCUCUGUUGUACUUAGGUUAGGGAAUGGCACUACAAUGCUAAUCUUCGCAGACAUUCUAGGGAGUUUAUCUUUUGAAGGUUUCAUGAGUGCUUUGGUGCAUUCGAUUAAAUAGAAACAAACUAGUUUUUUCAAGAAUUACUCCAUCUCCCAUCCACAUUAUUUAGGUGGCUUCUCAUUUUUAUUCUUAUACUUCACAUGUUUUUUCCACUGCUUUCCAACCUUUAAUGACUAGAGAAUAGGUCUGCGCAAGACCUUGCCUCUUGUCACACGUCAUCCAACACCAACAUUGCUGUAAAAUAUCUUUUCUUUUACAGAUUUGGUGGGAACCGCUGCGUCAAUGAAUCCUUUCUACUUUGGUCAUUUAUUGAGGCCAUGCUUUCAAUGUGCAUUCUACAAAAGUUGGAGGAUUAUGACACCAUUUCUGCAAUUGCAACCCUGUUGUUUGUCGACUCUGUUAGAUGGCACAAUCCCUUCACUCAUGUAUAAUUUACUCUAUGCCAUAGCAAUAUAUAUUAUCUCUCAUGCUCUAGCAAUGGCGAAGUUUGUAGCUUUAUCAGAUGACCAAGUUUGUAGCUUUAUCAGGUAUUCAUUCAGAAACAUCCAUAUCAUUCCCUUCUGGCGAUGGUUGAUGCAAGUUAUCGAGCUUGAAUUCUGUUGGCCGUUGAUUGCCGCGCAAAGUAUCUAAUCUUUGUACCGUCUUUUUCUUUCUUGUUUCAUUUUCCUUGUACUGACUAGCUUUGAUUGGGGUUGUAUUAUGAAAUACUUGCUUGUGUUUGUUCUCUUAUAAAUGAAUUUCUUUUUAUGCCAAAAAAAAUCUUCUGUUACUCUUGUUAGGCAUAUGCUGCAUUGUACUUUGUAUUACAGGUUAGAUGUAUGAAAACACUCCGUAAAAUUAUACUAAAGUAUUUAUUGAGUAAA